GCGUCAGUAGUGUAACGGGUAGAGCACGCGCUUCCGGGAAGGGUGAGGUGCGUGUUCUAGUCCCGGCUGACGCG